ACCUAAUAUCCAUGGACGUCGCGUUAGAGAGAGAAGUCGAGAGAACGAAUGAGAUGGAACAUCGGAUGGAAGUCUGUCAACUCUCUUGAUUUAUUGCCCUAGAGAAAGAGAACAAUAUACAUCUCUUUCAACUCGAAGAGUUGAACGUUAAAUCGUUAUUUCAAAUUUGAAUUUAAAGCAAAGAAUUGUGAAUACUAGCUCUACAAAUUUUGCUACUUACGAAGGCAGUGUACUUUUAUUUUGAGAGAAUCUAGUAAAGAAGCCUCAAUAUCAUCUAUGCAGUUAUGGCAAAUUUAGAAUUUCUACAAAUAAUAAUAAUAAUAGGCAAAUAUUAUGGAGGUAAAUUUUUUAUGGCUGCUUUAAUCUAUUAAAUUUGAUUCUAUUCGAAAUAGAUUGAAAGGUGAAAUAGAUCAUGAGUUGGAGAAUGGAAUAGUAUAGAACCUCAAUGCUCAAUCCUAAUGGUAUUUCGAUAAUCAUGGAUGAAUGAAUGUUCUCUUUUAUCUAAUAAAAAUUUUCUGUAGCAUAAUUUUUCUACCUGAAGUAAAAGAAAUAUUACCAAUUCAAAAGAUGA